AUGAGCAAGGGCCUUUCACUUAUCAAGCCUCAGGGGUGUGAUGGGGCGUGGUGUGUGGAGGAGGGUGCCUGCGCUCAGGCUGAGGCCGUGAAAGGAUACAUGCUCAGGUGGAGGGCUAGCCAGUGGCUAGAGGUUAUGGUCAAAGUGUCUCACACUUGGAGCACCAAGUCAGGUGGCACCGGCCUGGGCCAGGGCGGGGAGGACCAGACUUCCUGCACAUCCUGGGUGCCAGCGUUGCCAGUUCCCAGAUGUUCUCACUCUGGUGGGGAAGUACACCUGGAGACAGCUUCUGCUAAGAAAUUAACAGAUAUUGGAAUUAGAAGAAUCUUUUCUUCAGAACAUGACAUUUCCCAGGAAAGUGUAAAAAAGUUUUCUCAAGAAGUGGUUCCUUAUCAUGCAGAAUGGGAGAAAGCUGGUGAAGAGAGUAGAGAGCUCUGGGAAAAAGCUGGCAAGCAAGGCCUGCUGGGGUCAUUAUUGCUGAGAAGCAUGGUGGGAUUGGUAGAGACUUGUUCUCAACAGCGAUCACUUGGGAAGAACAAGCAUGCACAAAUUGCACAGACCCUGGUUUCAGUCUUCAUUCUGAUAUUGUCAUGCUCCAUAUUGUAAAUUCUGGCACAAAAGAACAGAUAAACUACUUCAUCCCCCAGAUGACUGCAGGCAAGUGGAUUGGUGCCAUAGCAAUGACAGAGCCUGGGGCUGGAAGUGACUUACAAGGAGUAAGAACAAAUGCCAAGAAGUCUAGGAGUGAUUGGAUUCUCAGUGGAAGCAAGGUAUUCAUCACUAAUGGGUGGGUAAGUGAUAUUGUGAUUGUAGUUGCCAUCACAAAUCAUGAAGCUCGCUCCCCAGCCCAUGGCAUAAGCCUUUUUCUGGUGGAAAAUGGAAUGAAAGGAUUUAUCAAGGGAUGGAAGCUACAUAAAAUGGGAUCGAAGGCCCAGGACACUGCAGAGCUGUUUCUUGAAGACGUCCGAUUGCCAGCUAAUGCCCUACUUAGAUUAGAAAAUAAAGGAUUCUACUACCUCAUGCAGGAGAUUCCAUAGGAAAGACUGUUAAUUGCUGAUCUGGCAAUUCCUGCCUGUGAGUUCAUGGAACUAUGUUAAGCAAAGAAAAGCUUUUGGGGAAAACAGUUGCACACAUACAGAUGGUGCAGCAUAAACUAGCAGAAUUAAAAACACACAUUUGUGUAAUCAGAGCUUUUAUGGACAGCUGUCUGCAACUGCAUGAAGCAAAACAUCUGGACUCAGUCUCCACUUCCAUGGCAAAAUAUUGGGCAUCUGAAUUACAGAACAGUGUAGCUUAUGAAUGUGUACAGCUCCAUGGAGGCUGGGGAUACAUGUGGGAGUACCUGAUUGCAAAAGCUUAUGUAGAUGCUCAAGUUCAGCCAAUCUAUGGUGGCACCAAUGAAAUAAUGAGAGACUUGAUUGCAAGACAGAUCAUCAAUGACAAAUAG